rnacentral:rRNA from 1 species
GUGGGGAAUUUUGGACAAUGGGCGAAAGCCUGAUCCAGCCAUGCCGCGUGCAGGAUGAAGGCCUUCGGGUUGUAAACUGCUUUUGUAUGGAACGAAAAGACUCCUUCUAAUAAAGGGGGUCCAUGACGGUACCGUAAGAAUAAGCACCGGCUAACUACGUGCCAGCAGCCGCGGUAAUACGUAGGGUGCAAGCGUUAAUCGGAAUUACUGGGCGUAAAGCGUGCGCAGGCGGUUAUAUAAGACAGAUGUGAAAUCCCCGGGCUCAACCUGGGAACUGCAUUUGUGACUGUAUAGCUAGAGUACGGUAGAGGGGGAUGGAAUUCCGCGUGUAGCAGUGAAAUGCGUAGAUAUGCGGAGGAACACCGAUGGCGAAGGCAAUCCCCUGGACCUGUACUGACGCUCAUGCACGAAAGCGUGGGGAGCAAACAGGAUUAGAUACCCGUGUAGUCC